UUGUUCUGCCAAGGGCAUUGCUGGGUAGCUAUGUAGGGAAGGGAUAAACGCUGAAAGCAUCUAAGUGUGAAGCCCACCUCAAGAUGAGAUUUCCCAUUUCUUUAAGAAAGUAAGACCCCUGAGAGAUGAUCAGGUAGAUAGGUUGGAAGUGGAAGGCUAGUGAUAGUUGGAGCGGACCAAUACUAAUCGGUCGAGGACUUAACCAAA
rnacentral:rRNA from 1 species